rnacentral:rRNA from 1 species
CUACGGGAUGCUGCAGUGACGAAUAUUGGUCAAUGGACGCAAGUCUGAACCAGCCAUGCCGCGUGCAGGAUGACGGCCCUAUGGGUUGUAAACUGCUUUUAUUUAGGAAUAACUCCCCGGUCGUGCAUCGGGGCUGAACGUACUAAAAGAAUAAGCAUCUGCUAACUCCGUGCCAGCAGCCGCGGUAAUACGGAGGAUGCAAGCGUUAUCCGGAUUUAUUGGGUUUAAAGGGUUCGCAGGCGGCAUAUUAAGUCAGUGGUGAAAGCCCUCGGCUCAACCGAGGAACUGCCAUUGAUACUGGUAUGCUAGAGUAUAGUUGGCGUAGGCGGAAUAUUUCAUGUAGCGGUGAAAUGCUUAGAUAUGAAAUAGAACACCGAUCGCGAAGGCAGCUUACGAAACUAUAACUGACGCUCAGGAACGAAAGCGUGGGGAGCGAACAGGAUUAGAUACCCCGGUAGUC